UACUGUGCAUAAACACACAGAAAUUAUUGCCAAUUUACCUGCCAAGACCCUGCCUCAUUUAAUUCUUUUUUGUCUCAAAAUUAUUUCACAGCCUUUGCAACAGAGUACCCCAUGGCACUCCGCUGUACCCAGAGGUACAAAUUCUGAGGCAUCUACAUGCUCACCAAACACCAGAAAUCCUGAAAAUUCAGCUUUUGGCAACACAUGCUACAGGGCUUACACUGAGGUAUUUGCUCCAUUUAAUGAAGACGACACCAGUGGAGCCUCAGAUACAGAGGAGCAAGCAGUGGUGGCUAUAGGAGAAACAGAGGAUGAAGUCACAAUUGCAGACAUUUUACUGGAAUUGGAACAACAAAUCAGGAAAACACAAUACAGCUGAUUCAACAUCAACCGGGCUGAUGUCUGGGAUGGAGGUGUUCGGGGUUUUCUGAGAAGCAGAUAUGAUCCAAAUAGCACAAUGAUUGUUAAAUUCACUGAUGACCUUGGUUCCUUUCAGGAUGGAAUAGAUACAGGUAGACCAAAGAGGGAGGUCCUUUGCUUACUCAUGCAGCAUCUCCAGAAGCGUCACAUAUUUGAAGGACCUGAGGAUCAGAGGUUUUGAAGUAUGAUUCAAGAGGUAAUGAAAAAAAAGCUAUGAAGUAACACACACUUCUGGUUACCGCCGAAACAUAAUUUUGUUUGCCAUGUAAGCGGUCAUAUAACACAUGUAACACACAUUGGUAGAACUACAAAACACUGUAAACUUGAUAAAAAUGUGAGUUAUGUGAUAUUUUAGUGUUUUACUUAUGUUUUCAUAGGAUGCCAAAACAAUGAACACUUCCUAGCAGGAAGAAUAAUUGCAGUCUCCUUAGUACAUGGUGGCUCAGCUCCCACAUAUCUUUCCACCAAUUUCUUGAAACGCAUUUUAGGUAUGGAUUCCACUUUCAAUGUUGAGGAGAUUGACGAUGAGGAGAUUAAAACAAUGCUGAGUGAGGUACGUAAAUCUUUUGACACAACAUGGUAGUUAUGUGAACAAUACCUUUUUAACUUUUUUGUGUAUUACAUGUAUUUAGGUUCAAUUCAAUGUACUUUGUACAGCAUUCUUAAGCAUGCAUCUGUAAUUUUAAAUUUAUUUAGUAUAUUGUCUCACUUGAUUGUUGUUAAUGGUUAUAAUACUGUUUACAUUUCAAUUUUAGAUUCAGUCGGCGGGCAGUACAGAGGAACUUGUUAAAGCAUUCGGUCAUCCCCUAAGAAUAACGGGAAUUCAGAAUAAAAUCUGAAUUAUUUAGCAAAAGUUAUGCAUGUUUUAAAAGUUUCCCCUUUCCAGAUUAUGAUAAUGAACUAAUCAGACAGAGGAAGGGGGGAGCAAUCAAUCAAGAUUGCAAGCCCAUUCGCUACAAAUAGCCAAUCGGAGCAUGCAGCGGGAAAUUCAAAUAAUCUCUUUGUUUGAAAAGUAUAAAACCCCCUACUUUAGCCCCAGCUCCCUGUCCCCAGCUCUACCCACCUACGCUUGCCCCAGACCUGUGCUAUCCCUGCUCGCUCAGACUCUAAGAAACUACAAGACUGCACCUGGAGCCCUCAGCUCUCAGUAUUUAUCCAUCAAGGUUGGGAGCCCUGACAAUCGGAGAAACACAAGGUAACAGAACGCUGAAAGUGACUGCUUUCCAGGCUAGGUAACAAUACUCUUAAAUAUCUAUUCAGGUAUUGUGUGACCUCUUGUUGUGUCAGUAUGUACUAAUAUUUAUGUGGUAAAUUGUUGUUUUAAACCUUAGUUCUCAUUGUAAUGCUUUUAA